UAAGGAAUAUUGGUCAAUGGGGGGAACCCUGAACCAGCCAUGCCGCGUGCAGGACGAAGGCCCUCCGGGUCGUAAACUGCUUUUGCCCGGGGCUAAUGGGCGGCUAUACGCCGCACGGGAAGGUACCGGGAGAAUAAGCCACGGCUAACUACGUGCCAGCAGCCGCGGUAAUACGUAGGUGGCAAGCGUUGUCCGGAUUUACUGGGUUUAAAGGGUGCGUAGGCGGCCCUGUAAGUCAGGGGUGAAAGGCGGGCGCUCAACGCCCGUGAGCCCUUGAUACUGUGGGGAUUGAGUCCCGUGGAGGCAUCCGGAAUGCGCGGUGUAGCGGUGAAAUGCAUAGAUAUCGCGCGGAACGCCGAUUGCGAAGGCAGGAUGCUACGCGGGUACAGACGCUGAGGCA
rnacentral:rRNA from 1 species